rnacentral:ncRNA from 1 species
UCAGCGGGACGACCCGCUGCGACAGGCCGCUCAGGGGACGACCCC